GCAGCACCUCUUUGCCCAUUUCGCUAGUACUAAUGGUGGGAUAAGAUCAAUUCAAAGGCAGAGGAUUGUGCAUGGAAUCUCUUAUGCGUCAAUUUGAUUGAUCUUGCAAGGAAGUGUUGCUGAUUGCAUCAAAGCAAUCACUUAUUAUAUUGCUGUUCACCUGGUGCUUGGAGUUUUGACUGACCUUUCUAAUGACCUGGACUGGAUUUCCUGAUGGAUAAACUGUAGAUUGACAGUGUUUCAUUCAGAGCCAUUACUAUAGCCCAUGGCUAGCAAGCUGCUGUGAAACUCUUCCUUUUCAGUAUCUGCACUAAAACAGUGCCAACAAAAUGCAGAAGCAAGUGGAGAUCAGAAUGCAUGAGAGUCAUCUGGACCUUCCUCCACUGCCUGAAAACUCCAUGUGUGGAGGCUUCUGUGACAAAAUCAUGAAUCAUCUGUUACUUACGCUCACAGUUUUUGGUGUGAUCACUGGUUCAGUAGCUGGUAUUCUACUGCGUUACGCAUCACCACUCCCCGCUGAUGUUAUAAUGGUCAUUGCCUUUCCGGGUGACAUUCUCAUGAGGAUGUUAAAAAUGGUGAUUUUGCCUCUGAUCAUCUCAAGUUUGAUCACAGGAUUAGCAGGGUUGGAUGCCAAGUCCAGUGGUCGUCUGGGCACAAGGGCCAUGGUGUAUUACAUGUCUACCACCAUCAUCGCAGCUGUGUUGGGAGUGAUCUUAGUGCUCCUCAUCCACCCUGGUAACCCCAAACUGAAGGCAAACUUGGGCGAAGGCAAAAAGAACGACGAAGUGUCCAGUUUAGAUGCCUUCUUUGAUCUCAUCAGAAAUCUCUUUCCAGAAAAUCUCGUUCAGGCUUGUUUUCAGCAGAUCCAGACUGUUACUAACAAGGUAGAAGUAGCUCCUCCUCCAAAUCCAACUCGGUUUGGACGAAAUGCUACCAAGGGGGCAGCAAAAUAUGUAAUCAAGAAGUCUCUUCAAUUUAAGAGUGGCAUGAAUGUUUUAGGUCUCAUUGGGUUCUUUGUGGCGUUUGGGAUUUGCAUGGGAAAGAUGGGAGAAAGGGCCAAGCUGAUGCUUGAGUUCUUCAAUGUUCUCAACGAGAUCGUUAUGAGGCUUGUCGGCGCAAUCAUGUGGUAUUCCCCCAUUGGGAUUGCAUGUCUGAUCUGUGGGAAGAUCAUUUCAAUUAAUGAUUUGGAAGUGGUGGCCAAGCAGCUGGGAAUGUACAUGGUCACUGUUAUCAUUGGACUUAUUAUUCACGGAGCCAUUUUCCUUCCAUUAAUAUAUUUUGUUAUUGUUCGGAAAAACCCAUUCACAUUCUUCAUGGGAAUUUUUCAGGCAUGGGUCACUGCUUUAGGAACAGCUUCGAGUGCUGGGACAUUACCUGUUACUUUCCGCUGUCUGGAGGAAAAUCUGGGCAUUGACAAGAGAGUGACUCGAUUUGUGUUACCUGUUGGAGCAACGAUCAACAUGGAUGGUACAGCACUUUAUGAGGCCGUAGCAGCCAUCUUUAUUGCCCAGAUGAAUGGAAUAGAACUCGAUCCUGGUCAAAUCGUGACAGUCAGCCUUACAGCGACUCUCGCUAGCGUAGGAGCUGCCAGUAUUCCUAGUGCUGGUCUGGUGACGAUGCUUCUGAUCUUGACAGCUGUGGGACUACCGACUCAAGACAUCAGUUUACUGGUAGCAGUCGACUGGCUACUGGACCGUUUCCGAACAUCCGUCAAUGUCGUUGGUGACUCAUACGGGGCUGGAAUUGUGUACCACCUCUCCAAAGAUGAGCUCGACAUGUUUGAUGCACAGCAGAUAAGGCCAGAUGACUUUGAGAUGGCCAAGAAACAAUCCUUCUUUGAGAAUAACACUAACAACGGUGUAUAUGCAUCUCACAACUCCUGUCAGCUGGUCCAAAUAGAUGACUGCAAGGUACAUUUUACUCUCACAGACAUAGAAACCUGUAUGUAGAUGCUUUUAUUUAUUUCCCCGACAUUGUAUAUACCAUUGUUAUAUUUUUUUAUUUGAUUUUUUUGACACUUUUUGUAUUUUUUGGUCAUUCCUGAUGUGAAAGCAUAAGAUGUUAAACAGAAUGAAGGAAUAAUUUAAUAUGGUUUAUUUAUUUGUUCUAGUACUUGGUGAAAUAGCAGUUUUGCAUAGACUUUGUAUAUCCAUAUCAGUAUUUGGACAUCAUCAAUUUGGCAAUUAUACAUGUGCACAGUAAAUCCUUCAAAUGUUUGUAUAGUACUAGUGCUAAGAUGCCUUUGGCUGCUCUCUCUCUCUCAAAAAAAAAUUAAAAAAAAAAAAAAAAAUAUGAAAGUUUAACAAAGCAGUGCAUUAAGGCACACCUCAAUUUUGCCAUCUACAUUUUGAGAUGACGGCUGCUAUUUCAUUUCUUUCAACUUCAGUGUUUUUAAGCUUCACAUGAAAGUGUUUGUUUCCAUCAUUAAGAGAACUGCAGUUGUUUUCUUUCUUUUUUGUAAGUUUUAAGCCUCUUUUUGACCCUGUGUUUCACAAAUGCAUAGGUCUGUGGGGUAGCUCGCGUGGCACUUUUUCACAACCCCUUUAGAAGAUUAGAUUUGGGCAGAGAUUCACUGUAAUUAGCAAAAAAAAUAAUAAUAAUAAUUAUUAAAAUACAAAGUUUGUAUUUACAAUAUAUAACAUUUCAAAUGAUUUUCUCUAUCUGUAUUCAGUCUUUCAGCAUUCUGUAAGGAAUCCCGCUGCAGCUAAUAAUUAUCUGUCUUGUGGUAACCUUGGCCUCAAAUGGCUCCCCUGCGGAGUUCUCACUUGUUGAGGAGGAACCAUGGAUACACGAGUAACACAGCACACAGAUCCAGCUCCGCCUUAUCCUGAGU